CUCAGAUUAUUAUUGAGAUCUUGUGUUAAAAAAAGUCAGUUGAGUGCUCACUUGAGGUGCUUGCGACGCAUGAUCGAACUACCGCGAUGGAUCCAUUCAGCUGAUUGUUUUCUUUUCUCGUUCCAACCAGUGCACCACAAGCUAUUUAUUUAUCAGCCGAUUGUUUUCUACAUUGCACACAAAAACAGAUAAAAGUUGAAAAUGUUGGUUUGUUGAAUUGUCCAGAUGUGAAACAAUGAUCUACUACAUGUAUUUCAAGCAAUAAACUAAUGUUUAAGGGGGUCAAGUACCUUUAAACGAAAGAACAACAAACACAAUGUCAUUGAUGCACGUACAUUUUUAAUACCUGAUGAACAAGCAGUGCACAUUGUUGCUGUAUAUUUAAACUUUGAACUUCAAGAAGAACAUGAUUAUUCUACAUAUAUAAACUAUAAAUGUAACCAAAUGGACACCUGGCAAGUCAGGUGUGGCAAAACUUGAAAAAAUUAAUAAUGAUCACAUUUGAUUGAUUAUUGUUUUAAUGAUUUAUAGCAGACAGAUUUUUUUAUUUGGGUAUAAAAUUUUAUCAGUUUAUCAGAUCUUCAUACAAUUGAUAUUAAGUGUAGUGGUUUCAGUCAUCCUGAAUUAGUGUGUAUAACAAAUGUUACAUUGUUGUGUGCUAUAUCACAACACAUUAUAAAAAAUUUAAUAUAACUUUGUCGAGUAUUAAUUUGCUCACUUGGUCCAUAUAUCCCUAUUUCAUGAUUGUCAAAUCAAAUAUAAUAAUAUGGAGUUACUUCCCUUAUACUACUGUGCUUCUUGGGACACUAAUGCAUAGGUUUACUGUUAACUCCUAUUAAGUUUGUGUAACACCAAAAUGUCGCAUGCUGUGAAACAAAUUAAACUCUUCAAAAUACA